GGUUUUGUUUAGGGCUAUUCCAGUAAAACAUCUACCUCACCCAAGGACUCCAGGUUUUGUUUAGGGCUAUUCCAGUAAAACAUCUACCUCACCCAAGGACUCCAGGUUUUGUUUAGGGCUAUUCCAGUAAACAUCUAUCCCCCCAGGACUCCAGGUUUUGUUUAGGACUAUUCCACAGGACUCCAGGUUUUGUUUAGGGCUAUUCCAGUAAACAUCUAUCCCCCCAGGACUCCAGGUUUUGUUUAGGACUAUUCCACAGGACUCCAGGUUUUGUUUAGGGCUAUUCCAGUAAAACAUCUACCUCACCCAAGGACUCCAGGUUUUGUUUAGGGCUAUUCCAGUAAAACAUCUACCUCACCCAAGGACUCCAGGUUUUGUUUAGGGCUAUUCCAGUAAACAUCUAUCCCCCCAGGACUCCAGGUUUUGUUUAGGACUAUUCCACAGGACUCCAGGUUUUGUUUAGGGCUAUUCCAGUAAAACAUCUACCUCACCCAAGGACUCCAGGUUUUGUUUAGGGCUAUUCCAGUAAAACAUCUACCUCACCCAAGGACUCCAGGUUUUGUUUAGGGCUAUUCCAGUAAAACAUCUACCUCACCCAAGGACUCCAGGUUUUGUUUAGGGCUAUUCCAGUAAACAUCUAUCCCCCCAGGACUCCAGGUUUUGUUUAGGACUAUUCCACAGGACUCCAGGUUUUGUUUAGGGCUAUUCCAGUAAACAUCUAUCCCCCCAGGACUCCAGGUUUUGUUUAGGACUAUUCCACAGGACUCCAGGUUUUGUUUAGGGCUAUUCCAGUAAAACAUCUACCUCACCCAAGGACUCCAGGUUUUGUUUAGGGCUAUUCCAGUAAAACAUCUACCUCACCCAAGGACUCCAGGUUUUGUUUAGGGCUAUUCCAGUAAAACAUCUACCUCACCCAAGGACUCCAGGUUUUGUUUAGGGCUAUUCCAGUAAAACAUCUACCUCACCCAAGGACUCCAGGUUUUGUUUAGGGCUAUUCCAGUAAAACAUCUAUCCCCCCAGGACUCCAGGUUUUGUUUAGGGCUAUUCCAGUAAAACAUCUAUCCCCCCAGGACUCCAGGUUUUGUUUAGGGCUAUUCCAGUAAAACAUCUAUCCCCCCAGGACUCCAGGUUUUGUUUAGGACUAUUCCACAGGACUCCAGGUUUUGUUUAGGGCUAUUCCAGUAAAACAUCUACCUCACCCAAGGACUCCAGGUUUUGUUUAGGGCUAUUCCAGUAAAACAUCUAUCCCCCCAGGACUCCAGGUUUUGUUUAGGGCUAUUCCAGUAAAACAUCUAUCCCCCCAGGACUCCAGGUUUUGUUUAGGACUAUUCCACAGGACUCCAGGUUUUGUUUAGGGCUAUUCCAGUAAAACAUCUAUCUCACCCCAGGACUCCAGGUUUUGUUUAGGGCUAUUCCAGUAAAACAUCUACCUCACCCAAGGACUCCAGGUUUUGUUUAGGGCUAUUCCAGUAAAACAUCUACCUCACCCAAGGACUCCAGGUUUUGUUUAGGGCUAUUCCAGUAAAACAUCUACCUCACCCAAGGACUCCAGGUUUUGUUUAGGGCUAUUCCAGUAAAACAUCUACCUCACCCAAGGACUCCAGGUUUUGUUUAGGGCUAUUCCAGUAAAACAUCUACCUCACCCAAGGACUCCAGGUUUUGUUUAGGGCUAUUCCAGUAAAACAUCUACCUCACCCAAGGACUCCAGGUUUUGUUUAGGGCUAUUCCAGUAAACAUCUAUCCCCCCAGGACUCCAGGUUUUGUUUAGGACUAUUCCACAGGACUCCAGGUUUUGUUUAGGGCUAUUCCAGUAAAACAUCUAUCCCCCCAGGACUCCAGGUUUUGUUUAGGGCUAUUCCAGUAAAACAUCUAUCCCCCCAGGACUCCAGGUUUUGUUUAGGGCUAUUCCAGUAAAACAUCUAUCUCACCCCAGGACUCCCAGUUUUGUUUAGGACUAUUCCACAGGACUCAAGGUUUUGUUUAGGGCUAUUCCAGUAAACAUCUAUCUUACCCCAAGACUCCAGGUUUUGUUUAGGGCUGUUCAAGCAAAAAAUCUAUCCCAACCAGAAAUUUAAUUGAUAAUUUACUUAGAAUUAAUAGGCCGGAAACCAAAUCAUAGAUAGUAAUCAUUUAUAUUGUAGUCCUGGGGUCAAGUAAAUGUUUUAUUGUAAUGGUCCUUGAGUGCCUGAGUGAUAGAGCAUCGGACACUGGUUCUUACCUCAAACUCAUAUCCCUUGUGUGUAUUUCUCCAUGUUCCACAAGCAAUGAGGUCACAGACAGCAGUGUUACAGUAGUCCUCACUGAAAAUACCUUACAGCAGGAAAGCUAAAAAUGCCAAGGGAGAUAACUUUGUAAAAGAAAGGUAGAUAAUGUGGGAAAAGGAAA